rnacentral:rRNA from 1 species
CGUGUAGGCGGCUGAUUAAGUCUGGAGUGAAAGUCCUGCUUUCAAGGUGGGAAUUGCUUUGGAGACUGGUCGGCUUGAGUGCGGAAGAGGUAAGUGGAAUUCCCAGUGUAGCGGUGAAAUGCGUAGAGAUUGGGAGGAACACCAGUGGCGAAGGCGACUUACUGGGCCGUAACUGACGCUGAGGCGCGAAAGCGUGGGGAGCGAACA